AAUGCAGAAAAGAAAGAUGGCCAACUUCCACCGGAUGCAAAUGGUCCUGCACAUAGUUUAACUAGAGAUAAUAACAACAUUGUGAUUGAACAAGGUAACAUAUUAUUCUUUGUUUUGCUAACGCGCGUGCUGCAAGAAAAUGAAAGAUGAUACCUGUGAUAAUUUGAUAUACAAUAGUUUUUUCAGAUAGCUGAUCAAUUUCAUUUCAGCAUUAAGGUCACGUAAUAUGGACAGGAAGUUAUAAUAACUAACUUAUUUAUUUAAGCAGGAGAUUGUUUUAGUCUGUUUCGGAUUUUUGGAAAUAGAACAGAGGAAAAGAAUACGCAGGUAUCUAAACAAGAAUCCUCUGAUUCUGCACACGACAAUGGUGAGAGGGAGAUUGAGCAAGGUAAUGUAAUGUAAUGUUUGUCCUCAACUCUUUGUUUCCGGCUUGUAUAUUUCAGCUAGCUUGACAAAAGAUCUUUUCACUCCACUCAGAAUCUUAAAGCUGCAAUUUUACCCAACUUUUCAAAUUUGUAGUGCAACAAAAAAGAAAAAAUCUAAUCUUAUUUUGGGGUUUAAUUUAAUUGAUAUGUUUGUACAGGAAAUGAUGAUAUGCAGAAUGUAAGUAUAGGUACACGUGGUAAUAGAGUUGGUGGUGGUGUGGCUAGUAAGCACCCUGAUGGGGGGAAAGGUUUGGGAUUUUCUCCACCUCAAGGAUCCAUACUGCCUGAAGACUGGAAAAUUGAUGUCAAUAAGGUCCCAGGUAACGCGAGGAUACUGAAAAAUCAAUUCAUCUAACCUACCGAUAAUAUUUUAGUGUUUGGUAAGGUUAUUUUAGAUGUUAAAUUUCUGAUAUUAAGGUUCAAGUAUGGAUUUUGGCAUAAAGAGCAGACCAGGAGCCACCCUCCUCACCAAACCAGAAAGUGCUAAAAUGCCUGAAGGUAUGUAUGUACAUGCCUACACUUGGUUGAGGGGGGACUCGCUAAGGUUUAGUAUAUACUAGUGUGUGUGUGUGUGUGUGUGUCUAGGGUAUCGACAUUGGUAUUAUGAUGCAGGAAAUAGUAGUACAAGUGCGGGAUCCUCGUAUGGCACAGACAAUGUUUCUGGCGUUGAAAGUCCAAGAGACAUAAAAGAAACUCAAGGUUCUAAAUCAGUGGAGAUUCUGAAAAGUAUCAUCUAUGGAGGUUUAAUGGAGUCCAUAACAAGCCUUAGUGUUGUGUCUUCUGCAGCUGCAUCUGAUGCUACUACAUGUAAGUUUCUGGGACUUGAUUGGUUUAUAUAUCUUUUCUCUUCAACUCUUGGUACAAAAAGAGUUCUUUGGAUAUAGUCCUUCUGGCUUAGAGUUUUCCUCGAAUUCUCUUGCAGUGAAUAUUAUAGUUAUUGGAUUGGCAAACCUAAUUGGUGGACUUUUCAUCAUUGUUCAUGAUGUAAGUAGUUUCAUCACUAGUCUGUAAUAAUUGGCAUGCGCGCACGAUCUUCAUUUCCCCCCACCCUAAUCACAUUUUGGUAUUUUGCAGCUUAGAGACUUGAAAAAUGAUCAAUGUGAAGGGGCCGUUAACAAAUACCAAGAACAAUUGGGCAGGAGGGAGAAUUUCAUACUUCAUGCAAUAUUUGCAGUGCUAUCAUUCCUAGUAUUUGGCCUAAUUCCACCUGCAACUUACGGCUUCGCGUUUGAUAAGACAAACGAUAAGGACAUGACGAUUGUGGCAGUUGCAGCAGCCUCUUUGUUAUGCAUAAUUUUACUAGCAAUUGGCAAGGCUUACAUCCAGAAGCCACCAAAGUUUUAGAUUUACCUUAAAACCAUAGUGUACUAUGUUAGUACUGCAGUUAUUGUCUCAGGUGUUUCUUACGCAGUUGGAGAUUUAAUCAAGAAACUCUUGGAGAAUUUCGGUUGGUUCAAUUCACCUUCAGCCUUCACUCUGUCUGCUCCUGACAUCAAAUCGACAAAUCCAGUUAAUUGGGCAUCCUACUGAAGAUAUUUUCUUAGAUCUAAAUAUUGAAACAAAGUUUGUUCAUGUGAGUUGUUUGGGGUCAAAUUUUCAUUCGUAAGCUGUACUUUUUUGGAGUUUGUGGGUGUUUUUUUUUUGCUUGUAUCAUAUUGAGAUGCCAAGUAUGUUCCAGCUCUGUGUAAUGAGAUAAAGUGAUUGGUGUGGCAAUACAUUUGGAAUUGAAAUAAUGUUAUAGAACUGGCAAUCAGCAGGGGAUUUUGUUUUGUUUCCCGUUGCACGUAUUUUCCUCUUACUUAUAAUAAAGUAAGCUCAGAAUUUCAUUCAUAACUUCUAUAUUCUGGAAAAUAUUGGUUUGAGUUUAGACAAAGUUAACCGGGGGUGUGGAUUCAAAUCCCAAGCAUAUAGAAAAUUGGAUUGGAAACAUGUUUGAAACUUGGAAAACACGAAAAAUAAAAAUAAAGGGCAAACAAUAAAUUAAUAAUAAUGCAAAAAAAAAAUCUUAAUGAAUAUAUACUUGUACUUCUAAAAUUUUGACAUCAAGAACAACGUAAAAUGUAGUGUGAUGGAUGGUUAAGAAAACUCCAGCAAAUUUCUUUUUUUGCUAAAUUAAAGUUCUAACAAUACCCUCUUAUCUACUGCUAAUAAGACCAUGAUCAAGCACUAAUAAUUAUGCAACAAUUCAUUAGAUAUAAAUACACAAAAGUCAAUAACAAAAUUUACACAAAACAAGUGUUAUGCAAGGAAAACUCCAUUAGAGGCAAAUUACCAAUCACUUAAAAUUAUAGCUAAUAUAUAAUUUACUAAAUAUUCACAUACCAACUAAUUAAAUCAUAUUCCAGUUGUCAAUCUCUCUUUCUUCCAAAUUUAAAGCAUCAGACUGAUAGUUGGUUAUAUUUUAAAGUUUGAAGUAAUUCCUUCGUUGUUCCACUAAAUUUGUUAACGAUGCCUUUUAUCUCUAACCAAUUGGAUAGCAUAAAGAAUCUCCCAUGUGAAACGUAAAAGGAAAAACUGACUAAAUGCUACAAAAAAAUCUUAUCCAUCAGACACCCUAAACACCCAAAUACAUGACCAAGAACAGAGUUUAAGGAAUAUAAGAAAAUUAAUAACAUGAUAAAUUCACUUGGAAGUUGGAACAACCACUUCAAUUAAUUAGUAUUUUCCAUUAAUGUCAAGUAUAGUAGUUAGGUAAUUAAAAGAUGUCCUGAUUAGACACUCAAGCUGCAUGCACUAUAAAAUGGGGGAGUUCUCAAAAUCUAGUCUUCAUCCAAAGUUGAUUGAAUCAAUUAAGUUGUAAUACUACUUAAAAAUAUAACUACAAUGGAGAAAGUUACCAAGUGUUCGCUUGUGUUGGCCAUUUUUCUGAUGGCAAAUCUUGGUACUGGUGAAGGAGGAAGAGACGUGCUGAAGAAAGAAGAUGGAAUCGUGUACAGACCUCAAGGCCUGCUUCCAUUUUGGCGGUGGCUGAAAGCCUGGUGGUUGCUACCAUGGUGGCUUAAACCAUUUCCGCCACUUGGAUAUCUCAACAAAGCUCCUGCAGCUAAAGUCGGGUGGCUCAACUACGAUGAAGAUUUCAUGGCUAAAG
rnacentral:lncRNA from 1 species